AUGUGGAGAGGUAGGGAAAUUUUGGAGGUUAAAUCUGGGGCAACCUGUAGCAGAGAGAAUGAAAAUGUUGUGUUAAAACAGAGGUAAUCAGGAGUGGGCUGGAAGGGAAGGUUGUGGGGGUGAGACAGGAGAGAGUUUCCAUGACAGAGAAUGACUGUUUGGAGGUGAAACUGAGGGAAUCAGCAGUGGACAGGGAGGGAAAAAUGUGGGGUAAACUCUGGGGCAGCAUGUAGCAGAGAGAAGGAAGAUUUUGGGUUCAAUUGAGGCAGUCAGGAGUGGGCAGGUAAGGAAAGUUCUGGGGGUAAAACUUGAGAAAACCUCCAGGGUAGAAAACGAGCCUUUGGAGGUAAAAAAGAGGUUCCUGAGUGGUGUGCAGGUGGAGAAAACUGUGGGGGUUAAAUGUGAGGUGAUCUGUGGGGGAGAGAAGGAAGAUCUUGUGUUAAAAACGAGGUGAGCAGUUGUGGGCUGGAAGGGCAGGUUUUGGGGCUUCAAAAGGAGGUUGAUUCUCUGCGGGGAGGGAAUGAAGCAAAGGAAAUAAAAUAAA